AUGUCGUCCUCCUCCUCCUCCGGGGCCUCCGCCGCCUUCACGCCAGUAUCGCAGCAGCAGCAGAUGGCGUCGGAGAGCCUCAGCUCGGAGCUUCAGCCCCCGGCGCCGAUGCAGCCGGAGGCACCUUCGGAGCAGCUAUGCUACGUGCACUGCCACUUCUGCGACACCGUCCUCGUCGUGAGCGUGCCGAGCAGCAGCCUCUUCAAGACGGUGACGGUGCGGUGCGGCCACUGCAGCAGCCUGCUCACCGUCGACAUGAGGGGCCUCCUCUUCCCGACCACGACCACCACUGUCGUCGCCGAGUCAGCCGCUUCUGCUGUCACCACCACGACGUCCCCGCCGCCGGCCGCCGCUGCUCACCACGGCCAGUUCCACUACCCCAGCUCGCUCAACCUCGCGCCCGGCAACCCUCCCCGCCACUCCCUCCUGGAUGAGAUAUCCAGCGCCAACCCGAGCCUGCAGCUACUGGAGCAGCACGGCCUCGGCGGCCUGGUCGCGGCCGCGGGCGGCAGGAACGCCGCGGCACCUGCGCCGCUGCCGCCACCCCCAGUCGCCGGGGGGAAAGGUGGGAAGGAGCCGUCACCACGGACCAAUCCCGUCGUCAACAGACCUCCGGAGAAGAGGCAGCGCGUGCCGUCGGCGUACAACCGCUUCAUCAAGGACGAAAUCCAACGCAUCAAGGCUGGCAAUCCCGACAUCUCGCACAGGGAGGCCUUCAGCGCGGCUGCCAAGAACUGGGCUCACUUUCCACAUAUCCACUUUGGCCUCAUGCCGGAUCACCAGGGGCUCAGGAAGACCAGCCUCCUACCUCAGGAUCAUCAGAGAAAGGAUGGCCAUGGGCUUCUAAAGGAGGGGCUUUACGCGGCCAACAUGGGGAUUGCUCCGUACUGA
rnacentral:rRNA from 1 species